GACGUUCCCGAGAUCCCAGCCGAGCCCACGCUGCGCCCCACCGCCACCCCCUGCGCCCAGCGGGGCUCAGCCCGAGGGACGCGCCGGGCGGUGGGAAAGGAGAAGUGGAGAAGUGAGAAAGGUCUGCGACAAAGGGAGGGGAAAGCCGGCACCGCAGAUUCCCGUUCUCAGGCCGACGUCACCCUCUCCUCCCCGGAUCCCACAGCGGGGAGUUUCCCAGCUGGCUGCGAGGCCUAUAAGGUGGGGAUGGGCUGCAGCUGCACAGAUCACGUAUGGGCUCCGUGACCGAUGUGAUGCGGAGAGCUCUGAUGUGCAUUCAUGGUAUUGUGUCUGUCUACCCACACAAGGCAGGAUUGAUUUCAUCUUCAUCUCAUAGCAGCCAAGCUCAGGGAUCCCACACCCAGGAAGCACCUACGGACAACAGUCAUCUCACUGGGAGGGUCUGCUUCCAUGGGUAGAUCCCACAGUCCAGCUGGGAGAGCCAAAACUGACCUCACUGACGCUUCAUCGCUCCCCCUUUGCACCACCGCUCCUCACCCAUCAGAGGAUGAGGCUCAGCUGCUUCAGGAGGUGGAAAGAGGUUGGUGAGAGUUGGUUGCAGUGUAACCUGCAGCCCAGCUGGCAUGGGCCACUCGACGGGAGGGGAAAGGAGCUCCGCUCUGCAGCUUCUCGUCGUAGUGUUUCAUGGUUGGGAGGUACCAAACUCCCGUAAAAACGCUGUCCCAGGUUUGCUCUGCUUUACACUUCUCAUGGGACAGAAAGUUUGGUAUUUCUGUACAAUGCUUACUGUCUGUCUUAUCCAAAGCAACAAAAAUAAACACCAUUAAGUCCG